CAUGAAGUUAAGAUUGCUUCACAAAGAUCCGUUUCCAGUCAUUUGAUCCGACGAAAAACUUCUGAAGUCCCUAAAGGCACAAUUUAGGAUUUUAUAAGACUACUAGGAAUGCUACACCAAUCCAUUGAUCUCCAUUGGAAAAGACAUGCUAAGGCAUUUGGACCAAAUGAAGCCUCAGCUAUCACUGCGUACGCAUACGUACCAUCUCAGAAGAACCAUGAACUUGUUCACCAUGCAUCUCGUACAAAAACAUGUGUCUAGAUGGUCUAUCAAAAACUUAUAUGGCGUUUCCAAUAAGCUGUUUUGAACAAAGUAUACAAGAUUAAAGUUUAAAAAUAAGUUAAAUUUGUGUUGCUUGUCCUGCAAAGUGUUGUGUAGUCCAAAUAUACUAAUACAUGCCAUCUCAACAAGGUUUAAAAUCCAACCUAAUUCGUUUAGGCAAUUGCCCUGAUCAAGUUAAAAUGAUUUUUCGCCCAUAUGCUCCCGAUGCGCAUGCAAUGUGUACAUAUGGUCCACAGUCCUAAAAAAAUGGACAUACACAGAAAACGGGAAAAAAAAAAAAAUCUUUAUCUUCAAUAUGAUUAAGAACAUGUUUGCCUAAGACUACGAAGAAUAAAGCCUAACAUGUUGAGAUUUAAUAGAUUAUACUUUAAAGUUUAAAUUACUUUUCACUAGUCUUUUUACUUUUUUCUUGGCUUAGUCAAACAUUCUCUAAAUUCUAACCUUAUAUAAGAAAAUUGUGGUACCAAGUAAGGAGCAAGAAAAGGGUGCCUGUAAUCAGAACAAGAAAUGUAACAUGGAGUACUGAAGCAGAGUCACUGGAAGAGAAAGCUAAGCCCAACACAGCAGCCAGGCAUAGACCCAGCAUCAAGAAUGAAAUCUUUAUAGUAUUCCAAGUAGGACCCUAGAAUUAAAAACAUCAAAAUCUGUGAAACUUUUUUGAUUGAAAUAGGUUCUAAUAAUUGGAACAGAGAAACUUCAGAGUGUUGACUAAAAGAUGAGAAAUUUAUUUCAUAUGUUGACCCCUGGAGCUAAGGCUCCAAGCAAGACUGCUUUUGCCGACGAGAAAUCUUCUGUACUUGAUUGUUUAGAAUCAGAUUGCAGAUUUGUGUGUUGAGUGUGGGACCGAGCUACAUAGCCCACGCAGGUGAUCGCAUGAUUGACAUAAUACAUACACAUGGGGAUCAGAAUUAUUUUAUUCAUGGAGAACCCACAUCGACCAUAUAAGGUUGCAGUUACCCCAGUGUCAAUGGAGCGGUUUGUUUGAUUUUUUCUGG
rnacentral:lncRNA from 1 species